AUCCAGCUGACCAGUCUCAUAUAAGACGAAACGUACAUCCUGGAU
rfam:Schistosoma curassoni strain Dakar, Senegal genome assembly, scaffold: SCTD_scaffold0001536